rnacentral:lncRNA from 1 species
UUUGUUUUUGUUUUUGUUUUUGUUUUUGUUUUUUUGUUUUUUGUUUAAAGCAAAAUAUUUAUUCAUUAUAAUUGGUAAUAAAUAAAAAACAAUAUAAUAGUAACACGUAACAUGUAACACAUAUUAAUGAUACUAGAACAUAAGUACAUAAAUAUGUACAUUUAAGAAUAUGACAUUUUUUUUUUUUUUUUUUUUUGUUUGUAAAAUGAAUAUAUAAAAGAAAAAUAAAAUGUACAUAAUUUUUUGUUUUUACUCUUACCAUUCUCAUCAUUUACAAGAAAGUAAAAAAUAAAAAAUAAAAAAUAAAACAGAAAAAAUAAAACAGAAAAGAUGUUACAUGUCUAGAAAGCAUAAUAUCAUUGGCCUUAUAUUUAUUUUAAAAAUGUGUGUACAUACAUAAAAGAUGUUAUGCAUAAACACAACACAUACACAUAUAUGUACAUACAUUUAUACAUAGGAAAAAUUAAAAAUGUAAAAAUAAAAAUAAAUGGUGCUGCAUCAGCAUAGUAUUGUGUACAAAAAUAAAGAAGUGACAUAAAAUUAAAAAUAAACCUUAAACGCAUCAAUAUAAGAAAAUUGUAAAAAUAUAUACAUAUAUGUAUAUAUGUAUAUAUAUGCAUGCGCUUGAGUGUGUAUAAGAAUAAAAAAAAAAGAACGUUCACAAAUAAAUCAUAACAUAAUAUUUUUGUCCUAAGUUGGAAACAAAUAAAAUUGUUACAUGUAACAGAAAAAGGUUAAACUAAAAGAAGAAAAUAUAAAAAAAAAAGGAUUAUGUAUGUACUUAUUCUACCAUAAAAAAAAAAAAAAAAAAAAAAAAAAAAAAAAAAAAAAAAAAAAAAAAAAAAAAAAAAAAAAAAAAAAAAAAAAAAAAAAAAUAAUAACAGUAAAAAUAACUCUUAUAUAAUUUUUGUUGAACCCAGUAACUCGUCUAAAUUCAGAGAUCAUGUGUUGACUAUAUUUAAAGUUAUAUAUACUGCUACAUUUAAAUAUAAUAGUUCAGCCAAAUAUUUAAGAUUAACUAAAAUAACAAAUAAUACAAAAGCAUGUGGAUAUUUAAUAGAAAAAAAAAAUGAAGUAUACCAAAAUUUUGAUCAAAUGAGAAAUGAUUUUUUAAAAUUAAUUUUAAAAUCUUCAAAUACAAAAAAUAUGGAUGAAAUCGAUUGGUACUUACCUACUAUGGCUCCACCAAAAUGGGUUAGCAACUCUUCUGAAGAUAUUGAAUAUUUGGUCAAAUUGAAUGGCCAAGGUUUAUAAAUUUAUCCACGUAUAUAUAUACACUUUUGUAUGCAUAUGAUGCUUUGUUUAUGUAUA